AGUGGCGGACGGGUGAGUAACGCGUGAGAAUCUGCCUUGGGGUCGGGGACAACCACUGGAAACGGUGGCUAAUACCGGAUAAGCCGAUUGGUGAAAGAUUUAUUGCCCGAAGAGGAGCUCGCGUCUGAUUAGCUAGUUGGUGAGGUAAGAGCUCACCAAGGCAGCGAUCAGUAGCUGGUCUGAGAGGACGAUCAGCCACACUGGGACUGAGACACGGCCCAGACUCCUACGGGAGGCAGCAGUGGGGAAUUUUCCGCAAUGGGCGAAAGCCUGACGGAGCAAGACCGCGUGAGGGAGGAAGGCUCUUGGGUUGUAAACCUCUUUUCUCAGGGAAGAAGCUCUGAUGGUACCUGAGGAAUCAGCCUCGGCUAACUCCGUGCCAGCAGCCGCGGUAAUACGGAGGAGGCAAGCGUUAUCCGGAAUUAUUGGGCGUAAAGCGUCCGCAGGUGGCGAUUCAAGUCUGCUGUCAAAGCACGGGGCUUAACUCCGUAAAGGCAGUGGAAACUGAAUAGCUAGAGUGCCGUAGGGGUAGAGGGAAUUCCCGGUGUAGCGGUGAAAUGCGUAGAGAUCGGGAAGAACAUCGGUGGCGAAAGCGCUCUACUGGACGGCAACUGACACUCAGGGACGAAAGCUAGGGGAGCGAAUGGGAUUAGAUACCCC
rnacentral:rRNA from 1 species